rnacentral:rRNA from 1 species
UGGAGGCAGCAGUGGGGAAUUUUGCGCAAUGGGGGAAACCCUGACGCAGCAACGCCGCGUGAGUGAUGAAGGCCUUCGGGUCGUAAAGCUCUGUCAGAGGGAAAGAAGUGUAUGGUGGUUAAUACCCAUCUUACUUGACGGUACCCUCAAAGGAAGCACCGGCUAACUCCGUGCCAGCAGCCGCGGUAAUACGGAGGGUGCAAGCGUUGUUCGGAUUUAUUGGGCGUAAAGCGCGUGUAGGCGGCUCCUUAAGUCUGAUGUGAAAGCCCCGGGCUCAACCUGGGAAGUGCAUUGGAAACUGGGGAACUUGAAUACGGGAGAGGGUAGUGGAAUUCCUGGUGUAGGAGUGAAAUCCGUAGAUAUCAGGAGGAACACCGGUGGCGAAGGCGGCUGCCUGGACCGAUAUUGACGCUGAGACGCGAAAGCGUGGGGAGCAAACAGGAUUAGAAACCCGGGUAGUCCG